AGUGAACGCUGGCGGUAGGCCUAACACAUGCAAGUUGAACGGCAGCACAGUAAGAGCUUGCUCUUACGGGUGGCGAGUGGCGGACGGGUGAGGAAUACAUCGGAAUCUACUUUUUCGUGGGGGAUAACGUAGGGAAACUUACGCUAAUACCGCAUACGACCUACGGGUGAAAGCAGGGGAUCUUCGGACCUUGCGCGAUUGAAUGAGCCGAUGUCGGAUUAGCUAGUUGGCGGGGUAAAGGCCCACCAAGGCGACGAUCCGUAGCUGGUCUGAGAGGAUGAUCAGCCACACUGGAACUGAGACACGGUCCAGACUCCUACGGGAGGCAGCAGUGGGGAAUAUUGGACAAUGGGCGCAAGCCUGAUCCAGCCAUACCGCGUGGGUGAGGAAGGCCUUCGGGUUGUAAAGCCCUUUUGUUGGGAAAGAAAAGCAGCAGGUUAAUACCCCGCUGUUCUGACGGUACCCAAAGAAUAAGCACCGGCUAACUUCGUG
rnacentral:rRNA from 1 species